GAUGAACGCUGGCGGCGUGCCUAAUACAUGCAAGUCGAACGCUUCACUUCGGUGAAGAGUGGCGAACGGGUGAGUAAUACAUAAGUAACCUGGCAUCUACAGGGGGAUAACUGAUGGAAACGUCAGCUAAGACCGCAUAGGUGUAGAGAUCGCAUGAACUCUAUAUGAAAAGUGCUACGGGACUGGUAGAUGAUGGACUUAUGGCGCAUUAGCUUGUUGGUAGGGUAACGGCCUACCAAGGCGACGAUGCGUAGCCGACCUGAGAGGGUGACCGGCCACACUGGGACUGAGACACGGCCCAGACUCCUACGGGAGGCAGCAGUAGGGAAUUUUCGGCAAUGGGGGAAACCCUGACCGAGCACCGCCGCGUGAAGGAAGAAGUAAUUCGUUAUGUAAACUUCUGUCACAGAGGAAGAACGGUGGAUAUAGGGAAUGAUAUCCAAGUGACGGUACUCUAUAAGAAAGCCACGGCUAACUACGUG
rnacentral:rRNA from 1 species